AAGAAGGCAUGAAUACGGAAAGAAAAGACUCGAUGUCAAGGAAUGAAUAAGUUUACAAGGUCAACACUUGGGAAGAAGUCAAUGAAAACUCUGACAGUGAGAGACGACUGUGUACUUGAUGAGGAGAUGUUGUUGAUCCUAAGGUCCUUUUGAUUGGAGAAGAGGUGGGAAAUUUGUAUUUAUUUUUUCUUAGUGCUCUUUCAUUCUUUUUGUUCUUUAUUUUUCUUCAAAUUGUUUUUCAUUCCAGGUUGGGGAAUACCAAGAAGCAUACAAGAUAUUCAAAGGUCUUUUGGACAAGUAUGGCCCUGACAGAGUUCUUGAUACUCCAAUCACAGAGGUACGUUUUGUUACUUGCCAUGUUGACCUUUCUCCGGUUUUUUUUUGUUGGUUUGUGUGGGAAGAUGGGUCUGGUUACUUAGAUAUAAUUCAUGGUAUUAUUAUGGAUUAUUUUUCCUUGUAUUGAAUAUUAUAUUAAUAAUAACGUGUUAUUUAAUUCUUAAAACUAGCCAUUUUAUUUUUGGAAGUAAGAAAGGAGAUUAUUCUUAUUAUUUACUUUAGUAGCAGCACUUGCAUGAC